ensembl:lncRNA
GGCAGCCGUUUAGGGUCAUUCCCAUCAAGAGUAAAACCAAACAUAUUUAUCAAAUGUAUUUUAUAAAGUCCUUUUUACAUCAGCAGUUGUAAAACUACUACGGGGAAAUAUUCACAGACAAUAGUAAUAACAUAUUCUAGGAUAAAUACAGUAGGUUAGACCGAGGAGUACUUGGAACAGGAUUGGGUCAGGUCAGGACCACCAACCGCCUCCACCUUUCCACACCAACCAGCAGGCAUAACAACAGAGAACCACUCUGCCUCUCCUCUCCUCCACACCAACCAGCAGGCAUAACAACAGAGAACCACUCUGCCUCUCCUCUCCUCCACACCAACCAGCAGGCAUAACAACAGAGAACCACUCUGCCUCUCCUCUCCUCUCCUCUCCUCCACACCAACCAGCAGGCAUAACAGAGAACCACUCUGCCUCUCCUCUCCUCCACACCAACCAGCAGGCAUAACAACAGAGAACCACUCUGCCUCUCCUCUCCUCUCCUCCACACCAACCAGCAGGCAUAACAACAGAGAACCACUCUGCCUCUCCUCUCCUCCACACCAACCAGCAGGCAUAACAACAGAGAACCACUCUGCCUCUCCUCUCCUCUCCUCCACACCAACCAGCAGGCAUAACAACAGAGAACCACUCUGCCUCUCCUCUCCUCCACACCAACCAGCAGGCAUAACAACAGAGAACCACUCUGCCUCUCCUCUCCUCCACACCAACCAGCAGGCAUAACAACAGAGAACCACUCUGCCUCUC